GAGGAGGAGGAGCAGGAGGAGGAGGAGGAGGAGGAGGAGGAGAAGGAGCAGCAGGAGGAAGAGGAGCAGGAGGAUGUUGGUUUAUGAUGUCGUGGCUUCUUCUCUCCUGUAGGACCUGGGGACCAUCGGACCCUCGUACGACUCACAGAAGCAGACCAGCGCUGCGCCCGCGGCCGGAGGCCUGAACGGUGGAUCCUCCUUCUCAGGUGAAUAUUCGGUGCUUUUUGGCCUCUGGGGCUGAUCUGUUUUUGUGUCUUGCCCCUGCCCCCCCCCCCGGAUAGAAGUUGGCCCUGAGGUUUUCCAAUAAGCAUCUCGAGGGCAACUUCAUCCCCCUCACCCCCCCGCCUGUCUGCUCUCUGCUUGUGUUUGCCCCCCCACACUCCCCACAAGCUUUGCCCCCUGUGACCAGUGGACGGACCCCUCGUCUCUGCCUUGCUGCCAUUGGCUUCCUUUAUCCGAUGCUAACUAGCUAGCCUCGUCGUAGCUUAGCAUUUCACGGCUACUGUACUUUAACGAGAGUAAAUAAGUCUUUUUUUUCUGUGGAGGACUCAAAUAUUUCAAGAAACAAGGAAAUCAGUGUUAUUAUUAUUAUUAUUAGUCAUCAGUCAUCUGCAUUCUGAGGAUAAUAAAAUAUACUAAUUUCAGUUUAUUACUACCAGAAAUUUGAAUGUAAUCUCUUAAUAUAAUCCUCCUCUCAGCAGCGUAAUCAUCAUCAUUUAAUUCAUAACGUCCAAACCACAUAAAUCCUGUGAUAAUUGAAUUAACGUAACAUUCACUUAAGAGCAGAAGAAGAAAUCUCAUUUAAGCAAAUAAACUUAAACAGGAUUGUUUUUCAAUCACUCACCUUUCAGAUCAAUGUCUGAAGAGCUAAAUGUUUAAUUUGAAUGUGUUAAUAUCUCAAGCUGUGGAUUCAACGUGGUUCUUUGGUUAUUCUGCAUAUUGUGGAAUAACUGCACUUGUUUAAGAAUCUUAUGUUUCUGAGGCCGAACAAACAGCCACGUUCACUAAUUCCUGCUUCUGCCUUUUUAGUGUGUGUGUGUGUGUGUGUGUGUGCCUGUGUGUGUGUGUGUGUGUGUGUGUGUCUUUGUGAGCCUAACGUGACUCGUGUGUCUCUUUAAGGCGCGUUGGCUCCUGGCCCCGUUAAAGGACGGAGGGCCCAAACGUAAACAGCAGCAGCAACAGGAGGUUUCUGCAGCCGGAGCCACCAAGAGACCCCGAAG
ensembl:lncRNA